AACUGUAGUUCAUAAGCAUAAUUGGGUGCUCAAGCAUGCAUGUGUGAGAUGUGUCACCCUGAAACCGUAUUACGAUGUCAGCACAUUACCCGUCUACUA
ensembl:snoRNA